AUAGCGUUAGGGUUUACAUUCUUUAUAUAAUAAUUCAGAAUACCCAAUAAGGUUACGGGAAUGACCAUUCUAAAAGAACAACGAAAAAUCAAAGAAAUAGUUAGAAACUAAACAAUUGAACAUCCUAUUUGCAACCCUCUUGUGGAUCGGGAUCUAAAUCUUGGUCAUUUUGAUCUAACAUGGUUAAUAAAAGAGUGAGAAACAUUAGUCCAGUAAGCAUAUCACAUUACUCAUCGAUACAGAAAUGAAGGUUGGUAAAAAUCAUGAAAAUAAU
rnacentral:lncRNA from 1 species